rnacentral:rRNA from 1 species
UACGGAGGGAGCUAGCGUUAUUCGGAAUUACUGGGCGUAAAGCGCACGUAGGCGGCUUUGUAAGUUAGAGGUGAAAGCCUGGAGCUCAACUCCAGAAUUGCCUUUAAGACUGCAUCGCUUGAAUCCAGGAGAGGUGAGUGGAAUUCCGAGUGUAGAGGUGAAAUUCGUAGAUAUUCGGAAGAACACCAGUGGCGGAAGGCGGCUCACUGGACUGGUAUUGACGCUGAGGUGCGAAAGCGUGGGGAGCAAACAGGG